rnacentral:rRNA from 1 species
ACUCAAAUGAAUUGACGGGGGCCCGCACAAGCAGCGGAGCAUGUGGCUUAAUUCGACGCAACGCGAAGAACCUUACCAAGGCUUGACAUCGCCCGGAAAGCAUCAGAGAUGGUGCCCCCCUUGUGGUCGGGUGACAGGUGGUGCAUGGCUGUCGUCAGCUCGUGUCGUGAGAUGUUGGGUUAAGUCCCGCAACGAGCGCAACCCUUGUUCUGUGUUGCCAGCACGUCCCUUCGGGGAUGGUGGGGACUCACAGGAGACUGCCGGGGUCAACUCGGAGGAAGGUGGGGACGACGUCAAGUCAUCAUGCCCCUUAUGUCUUGGGCUGCACACGUGCUACAAUGGCAGGUACAAUGAGCUGCGAUGUCGCAAGGCGGAGCGAAUCUCAAAAAGCCUGUCUCAGUUCGGAUUGGGGUCUGCAACUCGACCCCAUGAAGUCGGAGUUGCUAGUAAUCGCAGAUCAGCAUUGCUGCGGUGAAUACGUUCCCGGGCCUUGUACACACCGCCCGU